CUUCCCCCUUAGACGGAGGGGAGGAUACAGGGAAACUUGGUUAAAAACAGAGUUAAAGGGAAUGGGUCUCGGAAGCCGAGGGUCUGAAGUUCAAGACUCCUAGAAGGGGAGGGGAAUGAAAGCCACUCAGUGAAGAAGGAAUGAUGAAAUUUACUGCACAGAAUGGGUAUGAAAAUGAAGUGAGCCAGCAAAAAUGAAAGUGGACCUUGUAACCUCUGGCACACAUAGUCACUUAUGCCUUCCUUCCGCUGUCAGAUGGUGGUUUUGAGGUAAAACAAAUACAGUCUGUCCCUGACUUACUACAAUGGUUCGCCCUAAGAUUUUUGGACUUCAUGAUGGUGUGAAAGCAAUAUGAAUUCAGUAGAAACCGAACUUCAAAUUUUUGAAUUUUCGUCUGUCCCCAAGCUAGGGAUGUACUGUCGGAUACGCUCGGAUACACUCUUGUAUGCUGGACAGUGGCAGCAAGCAGCUCCCAGUCGGCCAUGCAAUCAGGAGGGUAAACAAUGGACACACUCCAAUUAUUCUGGACCCAGACGACCAUUCCUCUUUCACCUUCAGUACAGUAUUUGAUGAAUUGCAUGAGAUAUCGAACACUUCAUUAUAAAAUAGGCUUUGUGGGAGUUCCCAUCCUGGCGCAGUGGUUAAUG